rnacentral:rRNA from 1 species
UACAGAGGGUGCAAGCGUUGUUCGGAAUUACUGGGCGUAAAGCGCGUGUAGGCGGUCUGUUAAGUCUCGUGUGAAAGCCCUGGGCUCAACCCAGGAAGUGCGCGAGAUACUGGCGGACUGGAGUGGCGGAGAGGAUGGCGGAAUACCCGGUGUAGAGGUGAAAUUCGUAGAUAUCGGGUGGAACACCUGUGGCGAAGGCGGCCAUCUGGACGUCAACUGACGCUGAGACGCGAAAGCGUGGGGAGCAAACAGGAUUAGAAACCCCUGUAGUCC